AACACUCAGCACAGUGCUUGGCACACGGCAUGGAGUCUAAGACACAAAACACUCAGCACAGUGCUUGGCACACGGCAUGGAGUCUAAGACACAAAACACUCAGCACAGUGCUUGGCACACGGCAUGGAGUCUAAGAAGAAAACACUCAGCACAGUGCUUGGCACAUGGCAUAGAGUCUAAGACGCAAAACACUCAGCACAGUGCUUGGCACACGGCAUGGAGUCUAAGAAGAAAACACUCAGCACAGUGCUUGGCACACGGCAUAGAGUCUAAGACGCAAAACACUCAGCACAGUGCUUGGCACACGGCACGGCAUGGAGUCUAAGAAGAAAACACUCAGCACAGUGCUUGGCACACGGCAUAGAGUCUAAGACGCAAAACACUCAGCACAGUGCUUGGCACAUGGCAUGGAGUCUAAGAAGAAAACACUCAGCACAGUGCUUGGCACACGGCAUGGAGUCUAAGAAGAAAACACUCAGCACAGUGCUUGGCACACGGCAUAGAGUCUAAGACACAAAACACUGCACAGUGCUUGGCACACGGCGGGUGCAGGAAGGAUGUUCACUGUCACCACUGCUGUUACUCCAGAGCCUGUUUUCUUGUCUUCAAUUUCAAAUUCCUGGGAGAGAUCAUCCGAUUGGCCCAGUGUGCGUCAGGCAUCUACCACUGGACCAGUCAGCACAGGCCAGAAGCAGGAUGUAUAGCGGACACAUGGCCACCAAGGCCCCAGAAAAAGGAAAUGAAAUCCCUGUGAGUCAGGCAGCCAUUCCCCAGCACCCCCAUGGCUACCAGGCCUGUUGUAGGGCGAUUGGCCAUUUGUUGAGCAAAUACUUGCUGAUACCUACUUGUCAG
rnacentral:lncRNA from 1 species